AUGCAUGUUUUGGGCCCAGGCCCAUUUUUGGCCUCUUCUAAUGAACGUGGAGAGGACAAGUUAAAAACAUGCUAGAAUAACACCAUAACAUUUGGGAGGGAGUUAUCAGGGCCACCAGUCUUUCAAGGUCAGGCUGAGUCGGUAGUAUAAUACUCCCACAUUC